GGUUGGUCUGAGUGCAGUGGUGUUCACAAAUAAUUGAUCACAACCAGUUACAGAUUCUUUCGUUUCUUCUCCACUCCCACUGCUUCACUUGACCAGCCUUAA
rnacentral:Y_RNA from 1 species